GAUGAACGCUGGCGGCGUGCCUAAUACAUGCAAGUCGAGCGAACAGACGAGGAGCUUGCUCCUCUGACGUUAGCGGCGGACGGGUGAGUAACACGUGGAUAACCUACUUAUAAGACUGGGAUAACUUCGGGAAACCGGAGCUAAUACCGGAUAAUAUAUUGAACCGCAUGGUUCAAUAGUGAAAGACGGUUGUGCUGUCACUUAUAGAUGGAUCCGCGCCGCAUUAGCUAGUUGGUAAGGUAACGGCUUACCAAGGCAACGAUGCGUAGCCGACCUGAGAGGGUGAUCGGCCACACUGGAACUGAGACACGGACCAGACUCCUACGGGAGGCAGCAGUAGGGAAUCUUCCGCAAUGGGCGAAAGCCUGACGCAGCAACGCCGCGUGAGUGAUGAAGGUCUUCGGAUCGUAAACCUCUGUUAUUAGGGAAGAACAAAUGUGUAAGUAACUAUGCACGUCUUGACGGUACCUAAUCAGAAAGCCGCGGCUAACUACGUG
rnacentral:rRNA from 1 species